rnacentral:lncRNA from 1 species
UUUUUUUUUUGGUUCUUUUUUUCGGAGCUGGGGACCGAACUACUUUUCAUAUUCUUGACAUUUAAGAUGCUAGAAAUGAAAUCUUCAGUGCCCUUUCUCUAUCUUGUCCCAAGGAAGCAGACACUUACAUGUGGACCUCUGAGGCCUCCUUCUGAGUGACCUGAACACGACAGUAUCUCUCAUCAACUUCUUACUCCACUAUGAAGAAACACUUCCACCAAGAAGUAGAGGAUGCCACCUGGUUCACCUCCAAAUGAGCAUCCAGGAAUUAUACUUUCCUGUGAUCUUGGGAUACCAGAAAAUUGCACUUGAGGGGGUUGCUGACAGCUAGGGGUAGCAGCCACGCCUCUAAUCCCAGCACCCAGAAAGUAGAAGUGGGCUCAUCUCUGUGAGUUCAAAGCUAGUCUGGUCUAUACAAUGCAUUCUAGGCCAGCCACAGUGAGAUCCUGUCUCAAAAAACAAAUAAAUACCAAAAGACAAAACCAAAAUUAAAAAAAAAAUGGAGGGUGGGAAAUAUCACAUAGAAGAUGAUCAUUUGAAUUCUGAUUUGGGAACCUGUUUUUAAAGUCAUGUUCUGACUAAAGGCCAUGCCUGCGGCUUGAAGAAAACCUAGUCCAGUGAAGAGCGUGAGCUGUACUGACUUUCAUGGACUGGAGCGUGCUGUCCACUGAUGAGCUUUCAUCUAGACACUCAACUCUGAAGCGGCCUUCGAGGGCAGACUUUACUAA